UGAUGAAGGAAUGCUACCAUCAAAGGAUUUGUAUCUUUUGUGGUGGAGCAGGACCUGCAAGGAAAGGUGAAAAAGAGGGAAAACCUGAAACAAAAGAAUAAUGUAAUGACUUUUUGUAUUGUGUAUUUUUGUAGGACAUGAACAUGUCUGUAGACUGGUGUGUGCACUGAGGAUGGAGAAGACUACAGCAUCAUCCUGGAAAUGAUCGAGAGUCACAAAUGAGACGCUUUAUCACUCCAGCUCUUACCGUCUCAUCAGGACCAGAUGCUGCUGUGGUGUCUUCAUCCUCAGUGACCCCAGAGCCAGUGAGGGCAUCUAGAGAAAGACCACAAGACACUGAGCAUGUGAUUUUGGUAAUGUUUGUUCAGCUGGUUAAUGUUUAAACAAUGAAGGCUGACUUUCAGAAGCUUCAAAAGCAUCAUCAAAAAAUGUGAUGGAGCUUUUAUCUGAAGUGAUUGACAGUGCUCUUAUUACAGGGGCCUACAAUCCCCUGAUCAACCUGGAGAAGAGAGCCUUGCUCAAGGACACACUGGUGUUCCUGUGGCUCAAGGGGUAGAGCAUUGUGUUAGCAGUGCAAGGUUGUGGGUUCGAAUACCAGGGAACACAUGUUAGGUAGUCGUGCUCAUGGGGUGCAGGCACAUGAAAGUUCGGAGCAGACACAGCGGUCAGAUUGUCCUGCACGUGUUCCCCUGCUCUAGCUUCAAGGUUGUGUGGUUCAGAGAGCCGUCAUCAAGGUCUUCCUCAUCCUGUU